AUGAGUUAGAGGUUAACUAGACAGGAAGAUAUAUCCAUCAAAAAGCUUCCUUAGUUCUACUCUGAAAUGACGAUGAAUUCUUUAGCAUUUUGGGGACAUGAGACAUCAUGUUCUCAGAAUAGGAAAACUGGGAAAUGCUGCUCUCAGUGUCAACUCUUCUCACAGAACCAACUCCUGAAGGAACUGAGUACAUCAGCGGACAAGAGAGCUUAUCACAAGGCAGGAACACCUGGUAACCCUGAAACACCAAGCAGCAGUUGCUUUAUCUCUUCCUGCUUCCCUCUGGCCGUAAACA